ACAUUAAUAAUUAGAGCUUGCUUGAAGGAAGUAUGAUGGUUAAGAAGAUUAACUAAUGAUUAAAAUAGAUGAACACAUUAAUCAUUGGAUACCUUAAUUAGUAAGCAGUGGUGUUGAGCAGAACUUGAAAACCUUAGAGCUUCUCUUCUACGUUGUAUCUCAAAAGUAUCAAAAUUGUGUUCCUCAGCUUCCCUUUUUAU